ACCAACAAUGUUUUAUCCCUGUAACAUUAAUCAACAAUUCCUGUUGAUAAGUAUGAUUUACACCUACUUAUGGAGUACCAAUUCACGCGAACUAUGCCCAUCUCAAGUACAUUUUAGUUUGUUUUAGCUGCAUUUUAUGUUAAAUUGCAUUUCGCAUACUUAAAACUCCUUUUGGUGAAUAAGUGCAGGAAUUGGCCUAAUUUGGUGGUGAUAUCGGGCACGAGGCUAAUGAAAGCGUAAGGCGAGACAAAAGAUAGGAUGUGCAUGGGAUUGAG
rnacentral:lncRNA from 1 species